UAGGUCAAGAUAUUAUUAGCCUUCGAAUAUCCAUAUGUACAAGGCCUAAUAACUCGCUCACAUCUAUUCCCAUGUCCAGUAAAUUGGAUCUUGAUCAUUUUAUCCAUGAGAUAAGAUUUAUAAAUUUUAUAUAAUUCAAAAUCAUACAGAUCAAAGAACUCUUUUUUGUAUUACUUGUUUAUCUUUGACUCACAAAAAUGAUCAAG
rnacentral:lncRNA from 1 species